ensembl:rRNA 5S_rRNA 5S ribosomal RNA
GCUUACGGCCAUACCAGCCUGAAUACGCCCAAUCUCGUCCGAUGUCAGAAGCUUAACAGGGUCGGGCCUGGUAAAUACUUGGAUUGGAGACUGCCUGGGAAUUCCAGGUGCUGUAAGGU